rnacentral:misc_RNA from 1 species
AAAGUCGUAACAAGGUUUCCGUAGGUGAACCUGCGGAAGGAUCAUUAUUGAAUAAACUUGGUUGGGUUGUUGCUGGCUCCUAGGAGCAUGUGCACGCUCACUCCAUUUUUAACCACCUGUGCACCUUGUGUAGAUCUGAACAACUUUCGGGGAAAACCCGGUCAGAGGAUUGCUGUGCGUAAAGCCAGCUUUCCUUGUGUUCAGGUCUAUGUCUUUAUAUACACCAUAAGAAUGUAUUGGAAUGUAAUAGGCGUUACUGCCUUUAAAAACAAAUACAACUUUCAACAACGGAUCUCUUGGCUCUC